UGGCGAGUGGCGGACGGGUGAGGAAUACAUCGGAAUCUACUUUUUCGUGGGGGAUAACGUAGGGAAACUUACGCUAAUACCGCAUACGACCUACGGGUGAAAGCAGGGGAUCUUCGGACCUUGCGCGAUUGAAUGAGCCGAUGUCGGAUUAGCUAGUUGGCGGGGUAAAGGCCCACCAAGGCGACGAUCCGUAGCUGGUCUGAGAGGAUGAUCAGCCACACUGGAACUGAGACACGGUCCAGACUCCUACGGGAGGCAGCAGUGGGGAAUAUUGGACAAUGGGCGCAAGCCUGAUCCAGCCAUACCGCGUGGGUGAAGAAGGCCUUCGGGUUGUAAAGCCCUUUUGUUGGGAAAGAAAUC
rnacentral:rRNA from 1 species